rnacentral:rRNA from 1 species
CGCUGGCGGCGUGCCUAAUACAUGCAAGUCGAACGGUCUUUCUAUGGAAGCUUGCUCCACUGAGAAGAUAGCGGCGAACGGGUGAGUAACACGUGGGUAACCUGCCCAUAAGAGGGGGAUAACAUCCGGAAACGGGUGCUAAUACCGCAUAGUUUUCUUGAUCGCAUGAUCGGGAAAGGAAAGACGGCCUUUGUGCUGUCGCUUAUGGAUGGACCCGCGGCGUAUUAGUUAGUUGGUGAGGUAACGGCUCACCAAGACGAUGAUACGUAGCCGACCUGAGAGGGUGAUCGGCCACAUUGGGACUGAGACACGGCCCAAACUCCUACGGGAGGCAGCAGUAGGGAAUCUUCCGCAAUGGACGAAAGUCUGACGGAGCAACGCCGCGUGAGUGAAGAAAGGUUUUCGGAUCGUAAAACUCUGUUGUCAGAGAAGAACAAGUUGGAGAGUAACUGCUCCAGCCUUGACGGUAUCUGACCAGAAAGCCACGGCUAACUACGUGCCAGCAGCCGC